rnacentral:lncRNA from 1 species
ACCUGAUCUUUAUGUCCCUCUUUUGGUGAUAUAGGUGUAAAGACAUGAUUCAGACCGUCCUUUCACAAUGAAUAUCGAUUGGUGCAGCCGUAAUGUUGUACCUACCUAUCAAACUGCCUAGGUCUCUUAAGAUCAGGUGAUUGACAUGCAUAGGUACGAUAUAACAACACGCCUCAUCGUGAUAUUUUCCAACGGAGAACGGUACUACAACUUGCUCGGUAACUUGAAUUUUACCACACUCAUUCAACCACCAUAACUAGUAGGGAUUUGUAUGCUUGAUGCAUUUCAACCAUGCUCUUUCCAUGAAUAGAGUGCUUGUGACAUUAAUACAGCUACCACUAUCAAUGAUAAUUCCACAUACUUUAUCAUUGACAAGACAUCGCAUGUGGAAAAUGUUCUCCCUCUGCUCGUUGUCUUCACUCUUAACUUACACGUUGAGAGCUCUUCGGACAACAAUGACAUUACUCCUAAGUGGAGUAUCUUCGAUGGAUUGAAACAUAGAGUAGUACCUGCAAGAAAAGUUAAUGAAAAGAAUAUAUUCUCUCAUUCACCUUCCCUCAUGUUUACCUCGCAAUCCCUCAAUUGACAGCCUCAUUUGUCGAGUUGAGCAUUCAGAAUCAGAAUCGCUUGAAUCGGGUCUGAACAUUAGUUCUUAUGGCAUAACAAGAAUCCUAAAGGAUUUUGAUUUCUACUGAAGCUCAAAAUUAAGCACACAGAGG